rnacentral:lncRNA from 1 species
GUUUUAGCUGACGACACUCGAGAGCGCCAAUUUUCCUAGAUUCGAUUUUGUGGUUUGGAACUGUGGUUUUGGAAUCCAGAGUAGUCGCCUCGUUCUAGUAUCCAAUUGCUCCAGCACCAACUGGUGAAAAGACCAUCAUUCUUCUACUCAGUUGCAUUUGAAGCUUUGUCAAAAACCAGACACAAUUGGAGACACAGGUUCUUCUAUCAAGGCCUUGACUGGAAUGGCAUAUUUUCAGAUAUGACCACAUUGCUUUGAGGAAAUGAGGCUGAUGUUGCAGAGCUGAUAAAACCCCCACAGAAAGGCCAGCCUACCUCUGGUGUUGGCCAGAUUGAGAAAUAAAGGGAAAGAGUACGAAAGAGAGAAAUUUUAAAGCUGGGUGUCCGGGGGAGACAUCAUAUGUCAGCAGGUUCCGUGAUGCCCCUCAAGCCACAAAACCAGCAAGUUUUUAUUAGUGAUUUUCAAAGGGGAGGGAGUGUAUGGGUCACAGAGAUCACAUGCUUCACAAGGCAAUAAAAUAUCACAAGGCAAAUGGGGGCAGAGCGAGAUCACAGGACCAGGGCAAAAUUAAAAUUGCUAAUGAAGUUUUGAGCACGCAUUGUCAUUGAUAACAUCUUACCAGGAGACAGGGUUUGAGAGCAGAAAACCGGUCUGACUAAAAUUUACUAGGCAGGAAUUUCCUCAUCCUAAUAGGCCUGGGAGUGCUACGGGAGACCGGGGCUUAUUUCAUCCCUUAUCUGCAACCGUCUAAGACAGACACUCCCAGAGUGGCCAUUUUAGAGACCUACCCCUGGGAAUGCAUUCUCUUUCUCAGGGCUGUUCCUUGCUGAGAAAAAGAAUUCAGCGAUAUUUCUCCUAUUUGCUUUUGUAAGAAGAGAAAUAUGGCUCUGUUCCACCCAGCUCUCAGGCCGUCAGACCUAAUGGUUAUCUCCCUUGUUCCCUGAACAUCACUGUUAUCCUGUUCUUUUUUCAAGGUGCCCAGAUUUCAUAUUGUUUAAACACACAUGCUUUACGAACAAUUUGUGCAGUUAACGCAAUCAUCACAGGGUCCUGAGGCGACAUACAUCCUCAGCUUACAAAAAUGACAGGAUUAAGAGAUAAAAGACAGGCAUAGGAAAUCAUAAGAGUAUUGAUUAGGGAAGUGAUAAAUGUCUAUGAAAUCUUCACAAUUUAUGUUCAGAUAUUGCAGUAAAGACAGGCAUAAGAAAUUAUAAAAGUAUUAAUUUGGGGAACUAAUAAAUGUCCAUGAAAUCUUCACAAUUUAUGUUCUUCUGCCAUGGCUUCAGCCUGUCCCUCCAUUCGGGGUCCCUGACUUCCCGCAACAGGUUAACCUGAUUCCGUACCCAAACCCCAUCACAUCAAGGGUAGCAAUACCUGAAUAUCUAAACUUCUAAAGCAGAGAAAUAAACCUGGAACAUGGUCACUCUACCAAGAAAUUGUUACCAGACCUGUGUGGCUGGACACCUGAUUCUCCCCUGGCAAAUCUUCUAUUUCAUUCGGUCAUCAUCAAUAUUUUUUUCAUUUUCAAUUUUUAACAGUAGGCAGAUAUCUAAGUUUAACUGUCUCAAAGGUUUGAUAUAUGACUUAGGGUUGUAUAUUAUUCAGUGUUUAUUUAAAAGAAUAGAAAAGUCCAAAGACAGGUUCACAAUAAGCAAAAAUACAUACAUACAUAAAUAAGCUUGGAGACUUUUAUAAGAUUAAAAUGAAGUUCUUACAAAUACUUAAAUCAAAAUGCAGCAGGAGUUAUGACAGCAAAAUCUUCAGUCUUAUUUUUAGAGACAGGGUCUCGCUAUGUUGCCCAGACUGGACUUGAACUUCUGGGCUCAUGUGAUCCUCCCACCUCAGCCUCUUGAGUAGCUGGAAUUAUGGAUGCACACCACCAUGCCCAUCUGAAAAUCUGCAGUAUUGACACUGCACUCUAUAAUGCCCUUCCUUAUUGUUCUCUUGACAGUAUCCCCACUGUAUAUUUGUGAAGAUGGCUGAAUGUAUUGAAGUAGAUACUGCUUUUAUAACGUCAAAGCCAUUAUAAUGUCAAAGCCAUAACCAUAAGGUUAUGGGACUGUUAACUGGUGGGUAUCACAACCCUGUUUAUGAGAAAAGCAUUCAGAACUGCAUAGGGGAAGGUGUAGUGAAAUAUUUAUUAUAGGAUAUAUCUUGGAGCUGGCAUAUUCCAAGAUAGGCCAUGGAAUAUGACUCUUUUUUUUGAGAUGGAGUCUUGCCCUGUCACCCAGGCUGGAAUGGAGUGGCAUGAUCUCGGCUCACUGCAACUUCCACCUCCCGGGUUCAAGCACUUUUCUGCCUCAGCCUACAGAGUAGCUGGGAUUACAGGCACCUGCC